AUGCAUCCCCGGCCUGUCUACAAUCCCACCUGGUAUGAAAAAAGUUCAUCCUCUCCCUUUUUUGCUUUCUCCGCCUAUAGAAAAUGUGUGUUAGUACAGGCUACAGAAAGAGGUGGGGGAAGAUGGAUCCUAGGAAAAGCCAAGUGGGAAGAAUUUACAAUGAAAUGUGACAAAAAUCUUUCACAGAUCAGUGAUAAUAUGGAAGUGGAAAGGAUGGAUAGGGAAAUAAAACAGGGGAUCAUAUCAGCAGCAACCAGAUCUAUACCUAGAAGUACAGGCAGGAAGAAAAAUAAGUUGGUACCAUGGUGGGAUGAAAAAUGCAAACAAGCAGUAAAGAGUAGAAACAAAGCAUUUAAAUUAGUUAAAAGAUAUCAUAACUUUCAACAUUUGAUUCAAUAUAAACAAGCACAAGCAAUAGUAAGGAAAACAAUAAGACAAGCAAAGAGGCUGUAUUGGAGGAAGUUCUGUGGAUCAAUUGGGAGCACUACCAAGAUAGGAGAAGUUUGGGGAAUGUUGAAAAAAAUGGGUGGAGAUAGGAAGGAUUGGAAUUAUCCAGUUUUGAGCAAUGGAAAUGAAAUGGCGGUAACCAAUAAAGAAAAGGCAGAGUUAAUGGUUAAAACGUUUGUUGCGGUACACAGCUCAAAUAAUUUAACUGAGGAGGGAAGACAAGGAAGGGAGAAAACCAGAGAUGAAAACAGGGAGAUAUUAAAAAGAAAGGAUAGUAGGGAAAGCGAAGUAGAUGUCCCAUUUACCAUUGGAGAAAUGAAAAGAGCCAUAGCCAAAACAAGAACGAGUGCACCAGGUAAAGAUACAAUAUGUUACAGAAUGAUUCAACAUCUAAGUGAGGGGGGACUAAUGAAAAUAUUGACAUUAUUUAACAAAGUCUGGAAAGAGGGUAAAGUCCCACGAAGCUGGAAAGAGGCAAUAAUCAUACCGAUUAGGAAGCCUGGGAAAGAUCCUAGUAAGCCAAUAAAUUACAGACCCAUAGCUCGUACGUCACAUAUAGGUAAAAUAAUGGAGAGAAUGAUUAAUGAAAGGCUCAUGCACUAUAUUGAAAAGAGGGGACUGGUGACUUAG
rnacentral:lncRNA from 1 species